CUCCGGUUGAUCCUGCCGGACCCGACUGCUAUCAGAGUGGGACUAAGCCAUGCGAGUCAACAUAGCAAUAUGUGGCAUACGGCUCAGUAACACGUAGUCAACAUGCCCAGGGGACGUGGAUAACCUCGGGAAACUGAGGAUAAACCGCGAUAGGUCAUCACUUCUGGAAUGGGUAAUGACUUAAAUCUAUAUGGCCCCUGGAUUGGACUGCGGCCGAUCAGGCUGUUGGUGAGGUAAUGGCCCACCAAACCUGUAACCGGUACGGGCUCUGAGAGGAGGAGCCCGGAGAUGGGCACUGAGACAAGGGCCCAGGCCCUAUGGGGCGCAGCAGGCGCGAAACCUCUGCAAUAGGCGAAAGCUUGACAGGGUUACUCUGAGUGAUUUCCGUUAAGGAGAUCUUUUGGCACCUCUAAAAAUGGUGCAGAAUAAGGGGUGGGCAAGUCUGGUGUCAGCCGCCGCGGUAAUACCAGCACCCCGAGUGGUCGGGACGUUUAUUGGGCCUAAAGCAUCCGUAGCCGGUUCUACAAGUCUUCCGUUAAAUCCACCUGCUUAACAGAUGGGCUGCGGAAGAUACUAUAGAGCUAGGAGGCGGGAGAGGCAAGCGGUACUCGAUGGGUAGGGGUAAAAUCCGUUGAUCCAUUGAAGACCACCAGUGGCGAAGGCGGCUUGCCAGAACGCGCUCGACGGUGAGGGAUGAAAGCUGGGGGAGCAAACCGGAUUAGAUACCCGGGUAGUCCCAGCUGUAAACGAUGCAGACUCGGUGAUGAGUUGGCUUAUUGCUAACUCAGUGCCGCAGGGAAGCCGUUAAGUUUGCAGCCUGGGCAGUACGGUCGCAAGACUGAAACUUAAAGGAAUUGGGCGGGGAGCA
rnacentral:rRNA from 1 species